rnacentral:lncRNA from 1 species
AUUUCUUGACACUCCUGUCUUCUUGCCACCUCAUGAUGCGGCCAAUGAGAGAGGUGACUCAUAACAACGAUGGAGACAUAGCUACACACUUGAGAAUGAAGAUUCACAGUGAAAUUCUUUGAAAAUCUACAGAUGUCUUGGAUUAAGGAGCACUAGGCACCAGCCAUUUAUACAGCCAGAGAACAAUCUGAUAGAGAAUUCUGAAGAAUUUGUCUUAGCUGGUUCAUUCUUUAGGACAAAUUUGUGCCUGUGCCAAUCAUUUCAAAAUUGCUUCAUCCAUAGCAAUUUUGAAAACUAUCCUCAAAUGAUUGAAUAAAGAGGCUUCGUUGUGUGGAAGAUCUUCAGACAAUUCAAGUGAUCAAGAUUUUAAAAUAUGAAAAGAAACUGGCCAAAAUGUGCUUUUUAAUGAUAUUCACCUUCCUGGUCUGUUGGAUGCCUUAUAUCGUGAUCUGCUUCUUGGUGGUUAAUGGUCAUGGUCACCUGGUCACUCCAACAAUAUCUAUUGUUUCGUACCUCUUUGCUAAAUCGAACACUGUAUACAAUCCAGUGAUUUAUG